rnacentral:tRNA from 1 species
AGGCCAGUAGCUUAACUUGGUAGAGCAGCGGUCUCCAAAACCGCAGGUUGGGGGUUCGAUUCCCUCCUGGCCUG